rnacentral:lncRNA from 1 species
CCAUUUCCUCUCUCGUAAAUUACGUGACAUAUAUAUAUAUAUAUAGUUUGUACAAAAGCCAUAAACACCAUUACUUAACAUCGAUCCAUAUAUAUCAUACUUGAUAACUUAUUGCAUUUGAAUUUGAAAGCAAAGAAAUGGCUCAUUCCAAGCUUAUAGCAGCUGCAUUGUUGAUUUUACUCUUUGUUGAUCUUGCCUUUUGUGCAAGAUUAGGAAAGUCGGUAAAUGGUAAAGGAGGAGGAGGUGGAGGUGGUGGAGGUGGAGGAAGAGGUGGUGGUGGUGGUGGAGGGUCAGCCUUAGGGUCUGGUUCAGGUUAUGGUUCAGGGGAAGGCUCGGGAUAUGGUGGGGGUGACGGGCUGUAUGGAAGUGGUGGAGGUGGUGGCAGUGGAGGCGGCGGGGGA